rnacentral:rRNA from 1 species
AACGAACGCUGGCGGCAGGCCUAACACAUGCAAGUCGAACGCUGUAGCAAUACAGAGUGGCAGACGGGUGAGUAACGCGUGGGAACCUUCCCAAUGGUACGGAAUAGCUCAGGGAAACUUGGGGUAAUACCGUAUAAGCCCCUAGGGGGAAAGAUUUAUCGCCAUUGGAUGGGCCCGCGUCGGAUUAGCUAGUUGGUGGGGUAAUGGCCUACCAAGGCGACGAUCCGUAGCUGGUUUGAGAGAAUGACCAGCCACACUGGGACUGAGACACGGCCCAGACUCCUACGGGAGGCAGCAGUGGGGAAUCUUGGACAAUGGGCGCAAGCCUGAUCCAGCCAUGCCACGUGAGUGACGAAGGCCUUAGGGUUGUAAAGCUCUUUUGCCGGGGACGAUAAUGACGGUACCCGGAGAAUAAGUCCCGGCUAACUUCGUGCCAGCCGCCGCGGUAA